UUAAGCUAACCUGUACUAAUUGCCCGAGAGGCUUAACCAUACAACGCCUAAGUAG
rnacentral:rRNA from 1 species